UCUAAGGUGACUGCCGGCUAAAAGUCGGAGGAAGGUGGGGAUGACGUCAAAUCAUCAUGCCCUUAUGACCUGGGCUACACACGUGCUACAAUGGGCGGUACAAAGGGUCGCGAACCCGCGAGGGGGAGCCAAUCCCAAAAAGCCGCUCUCAGUUCGGAUUGCAGGCUGCAACUCGCCUGCAUGAAGCCGGAAUCGCUAGUAAUCGCGGAUCAGCAUGUCGCGGUGAAUACCGGUUCCCGGGUCUU
rnacentral:rRNA from 1 species